rnacentral:misc_RNA from 1 species
UCGCGUCGCAUACGCCUGUAUUGCCGUUCUCGGGGCAAGGCAGUCAAUCACGAGAGAGGACGCAGCAGAUCGCGGGGGCGGCCUACCACGGCGCGACGCACAAACAGUUGCUGUCGUGAGCGGAAAGUGUCGGUGGGCUCUGCGCCGCCGUGCACGCAUCACAUUUGAAAAGCACAUAUAGACCCUCUGUAUACCUAGCGACAACGGGAUGCGCGGCUCACGACGCCUGCCGUCGCUUCGACUUGUGGAGUGUACCGCGGUGCAGUCUAGCAGCGUUUCUCGCCCUCUUGCGCCGCCACCAUCCGCACUAAUUACUGCCAGUAGGCGUUUCUGCAUUGGCGCUACGCGCAUGUUUUACGCACUGCCCCACCGUCCGCAUGCCGUUUCGCCGUCGUCCGCCUCUCAUCCUCCCGCCAAGACAGGCGAUGAGGCGUGCUCUGAGAAGGGCGCACUUGAAUCGCCGCCUCCGUCUGCUGAAGCUCGAGCCGCAUCCGCCACGGUGGCGGCGGCCGCACCGGCAGAGUCGAUGCCGUCGAACACCGCAGGCAAAAGCACAGCGGAGACAACGUCGGCAUCGGCGGCGUCCGCCGCCGCCCAGCCCCAGUCGCUACCGAUCCAGGACAGUCUCACUCGGCGCCUCUUCGCCUCGUGGCAGCAAGGUGUGGUGGCCAGCAUUGGCGCCGUAAUGGGUAUCGGCUUCCUUUUAUUUUUUCUAUACACCCCGGUGAAGGAAGACACGGUGCACCACACCGCCGUGGUCGCGUCUGAGGCGCUGGCUGAUGCGCGGCUUAAAGGGCAGGCGGUGCAGCUCUCCAAGGAUGUCGUGCUGGAGGUGCUGCGCAAUCCCAAGUUUCUCGACGCGACUGUGGACGUCGUUGUCGAGCUGCUGGCGCGCGAAGAGACGAAGAUUGCCGUCUCCUCGCUCCUGCAGUCCUUGUUCGAGGACCACUACACGCAGGAGGUGACGAAGAAAUUCGUGUUGCGGGUGGUGCAAGACCCUUGGAUUCAGGAUCAGCUGCAGAUGAUCACGGAAGAACAGGUGCGCAAGCUUCUCAACAACGCGGCUAUUAAGACUGAGCUGUCCAAAUUUCUACUCAAGUCGGCGGUGGACUCGCUUGAGAAGCCGCAGCUGCACUACGAGGUGGCGAAGGCGAUGCGUCACUCUGUCGCGUCGCUCGUGAACUUCUGGUGGACGUGAGAGAGCGGCGCUGAGUCUUAUGAAUCUCUCGCGGACGGUUGAUUUCCGUGACCGUGUUUUGCUGAGGCUUGCUGUAUCCGCGAGCUGGCUACCUGGCUUAGACAGAGCGAGACGCGGGGCUAUUUUUCUCUCAUCCCUCUCUCUGUUUCCGUAUCCUUCCACGGCUUCAGCGGAUUUGGUCCGCCCUCGCCCAUUGUCGGCUUCAUGGAAGCCGCAGCAGCAGGUGUCGCGCGCGCCCCUCUUCCCCCUGCUGCCCGUCUUUGGACGCCUGAAGAGAAAGCUGCGGCCGAUCUUCUUCGGCGCCGCUCCAUCGGGUGAACUCUCUCGAGCCCUCGCCGGUACCUACGCGCAGCUCUACGCAACGUCCAUGGCUGCCUGAACGACCGCGGUCACUCACCGCUGCGCUGCGCAUUAUCUCCUUCUACCGAGUCACUGUUCUGCUGCUGCUUAGCGUUGUUGGCAUCAGUACCACCCUGCUCUCGUCACCGCACACGCGCACUGGGCACGGCAGGGCACGUCUGCACAUCCCUAGACCUGAGCGCUUUUCUCACCCUGCCCUCCCACCUCUUCUUCUCUGUUGCCUCAUUCUUCUAG